ACCUGCCUGUAAGACUGGGAUAAUUCCGGGAAACCGGGGCUAAUACCGGAUGCUUGAUUGAACCGCAUGGUUCAAUCAUAAAAGGUGGCUUUCAGCUACCACUUACAGAUGGACCCGCGGCGCAUUAGCUAGUUGGUGAGGUAACGGCUCACCAAGGCGACGAUGCGUAGCCGACCUGAGAGGGUGAUCGGCCACACUGGGACUGAGACACGGCCCAGACUCCUACGGGAGGCAGCAGUAGGGAAUCUUCCGCAAUGGACGAAAGUCUGACGGAGCAACGCCGCGUGAGUGAUGAAGGUUUUCGGAUCGUAAAACUCUGUUGUUAGGGAAGAACAAGUACCGUUCGAAUAGGGCGGUACCUUGACGGUACCUAACCAGAAAGCCACGGCUAACUACGUGCCAGCAGCCGCGGUAAUACGUAGGUGGCAAGCGUUGUCCGGAAUUAUUGGGCGUAAAGCGCGCGCAGGCGGUUUCUUAAGUCUGAUGUGAAAGCCCCCGGCUCAACCGGGGAGGGUCAUUGGAAACUGGGGAACUUGAGUGCAGAAGAGGAGAGUGGAAUUCCACGUGUAGCGGUGAAAUGCGUAGAGAUGUGGAGGAACACCAGUGGCGAAGGCGACUCUCUGGUCUGUAACUGACGCUGAGGCGCGAAAGCGUGGGGAGCGAACAGGAUUAGAUACCCUGGUAGUCCACGCCGUAAACGAUGAGUGCUAAGUGUUAGAGGGUUUCCGCCCUUUAGUGCUGCAGCAAACGCAUUAAGCACUCCGCCUGGGGAGUACGGUCGCAAGACUGAAACUCAAAGGAAUUGACGGGGGCCCGCACAAGCGGUGGAGCAUGUGGUUUAAUUCGAAGCAACGCGAAGAACCUUACCAGGUCUUGACAUCCUCUGACAACCCUAGAGAUAGGGCUUCCCCUUCGGGGGCAGAGUGACAGGUGGUGCAUGGUUGUCGUCAGCUCGUGUCGUGAGAUGUUGGGUUAAGUCCCGCAACGAGCGCAACCCUUGAUCUUAGUUGCCAGCAUUCAGUUGGGCACUCUAAGGUGACUGCCGGUGACAAACCGGAGGAAGGUGGGGAUGACGUCAAAUCAUCAUGCCCCUUAUGACCUGGGCUACACACGUGCUACAAUGGGCAGAACAAAGGGCAGCGAAGCCGCGAGGCUAAGCCAAUCCCACAAAUCUGUUCUCAGUUCGGAUCGCAGUCUGCAACUCGACUGCGUGAAGCUGGAAUCGCU
rnacentral:rRNA from 1 species